rnacentral:lncRNA from 1 species
AUUUGGUCAGGAAUAUAGAAAUAAACACGAUUCUUGUCUUUGAGGAACUUUAAUUUCUUAAUAGGGAUACACACACAACACACACACACACAGACACACACUGCUGGAGGACAUGGGAUGAAAAAGGUGUUAAUUCUUCUUGGCAGCAUCACGAAAGUCUAUGCUGAGGAGAUGGUGUUUGAGCCAGUCUCUUGAUAAUGGCAUGCUUGUGAUCCAAGCAGCAGGAUCCUGAUGGUCCCUAAAGGAGAGAUGAUAGAAGGUAUUCUGAAUGUCGGCGACUUCACAUUUGCAAAGGCCAAAGCCUGUUAGCACCUGGCCCAGUGAAGACCACUCAAUAAAUAUAAUUAAAGAAGCAUGUAAGAGAAGAUAGAAUUUUUAUUGCACAUUAACAAAAGAAGUGAAAGAAUCCACCUUUUUGAAGAUUUAAAAAUAAACCAAAAUUGCUUAUAGGCUGAGACAUUGAUCCAUAUGAUUUGGUAUAAACUUUGUUUGCUGAUGAAGAGAGGGAAGUGGGGAGAUGGGAUGUAACUAAUCUAGCAGCAAUGAAAAACAAAAUUUUUCUGGUGAAAUAAGUAAUGGUUUUCUGGUUGAAUAAUUCUACGCACAGAAAAUGAUUGAUUAGAGUUUCCUGCAAGCCUGGGCUAUGCAAAUACAGCAGGUGUCUAUGUAUAUGCAAGGCUUGAACACAGUCUUCAGUUACUUUUUUGGGAAAGCUGCCCCAGUUUAGUUUUGAGUCAUAUUUCUGCAUCUGUCACUAUGUUCCAAUCACUACCCAAACAGGUAUCAGACAUGACCACGCAGGCAAAAUAAAUAAAUAAAUAAUAAAAUAAACCAAUUUUGGCUUUAAAGUAUCUCAGCAUCAUUAUGAUGAAUGGAUCAAUCUCAAU